GCAAGUCGAACGAAAGUAGAGAAUAGCUUGCUAAUUUCUACUUUAGUGGCGGACGGGUUAGUAACACGUGAGUAACUUGCCUCAAAGUGGGGGAUAGUCCUGGGAAACUGGGUUUAAUACCGCAUAUGCUCUUUUGAGUAAAGCUAGCUUUUAGCUGGUGCUUUGAGAUAGGCUCGCGUCCUAUCAGCUUGUUGGUGAGGUAAAAGCUCACCAAGGCGACGACGGGUAGUUGGUCUGAGAGGAUGACC
rnacentral:rRNA from 1 species